rnacentral:rRNA from 1 species
GACGAACGCUGGCGGCGUGCUUAACACAUGCAAGUCGAACGGAAAGGCCCUGCUUUUGUGGGGUGCUCGAGUGGCGAACGGGUGAGUAACACGUGAGUAACCUGCCCUUGACUUUGGGAUAGCUUCAGGAAACUGGGGCUAAUACCGGAUAGGAGCUCCUGCUGCAUGGUGGGGGUUGGAAAGUUUCGGCGGUUGGGGAUGGACUCGCGGCUUAUCAGCUUGUUGGUGGGGUAGUGGCUUACCAAGGCUUUGACGGGUAGCCGGCCUGAGAGGGUGGCCGGCCACAUUGGGACUGAGAUACGGCCCAGACUCCUACGGGAGGCAGCAGUGGGGAAUAUUGCACAAUGGGCGGAAGCCUGAUGCAGCAACGCCGCGUGCGGGAUGACGGCCUUCGGGUUGUAAACCGCUUUCGCCUGUGACGAAGCGUGAGUGACGGUAAUGGGUAAAGAAGCACCGGCUAACUACGUGCCAGCAGCCGCGGUGAUACGUAGGGUGCGAGCGUUGUCCGGAUUUAUUGGGCGUAAAGGGCUCGUAGGUGGUUGAUCGCGUCGGAAGUGUAAUCUUGGGGCUUAACCCUGAGCGUGCUUUCGAUACGGGUUGACUUGGGGAAGGUAGGGGAGAAUGGAAUUCCUGGUGGAGCGGUGGAAUGCGCAGAUAUCAGGAGGAACACCAGUGGCGAAGGCGGUUCUCUGGGCCUUUCCUGACGCUGAGGGGCGAAAGCGUGGGGAGCGAACAGGCUUAGAUACCCUGGUAGUCCACGCUGUAAACGGUGGGUACUAGGUGUGGGGUCCAUUCCACGGGUUCCGUGCCGUAGCUAACGCUUUAAGUACCCCGCCUGGGGAGUACGGCCGCAAGGCUAAAACUCAAAGGAAUUGACGGGGCCCCGCACAAGCGGCGGAGCAUGCGGAUUAAUUCGAUGCAACGCGUAGAACCUUACCUGGGUUUGACAUGGAUCGGGAGUGCUCAGAGAUGGGUGUGCCUCUUUUGGGGUCGGUUCACAGGUGGUGCAUGGCUGUCGUCAGCUCGUGUCGUGAGAUGUUGGGUUAAGUCCCGCAACGAGCGCAACCCUUGUUCACUGUUGCCAGCACGUUAUGGUGGGGACUCAGUGGAGACCGCCGGGGUCAACUCGGAGGAAGGUGGGGAUGACGUCAAGUCAUCAUGCCCCUUAUGUCCAGGGCUUCACGCAUGCUACAAUGGCUGGUACAGAGAGUGGCGAGCCUGUGAGGGUGAGCGAAUCUCGGAAAGCCGGUCUCAGUUCGGAUUGGGGUCUGCAACUCGACCUCAUGAAGUCGGAGUCGCUAGUAAUCGCAGAUCAGCAACGCUGCGGUGAAUACGUUCCCGGG